rnacentral:rRNA from 1 species
CCUACGGGAGGCAGCAGUGAGGAAUAUUGGUCAAUGGGCUGACGCCUGAACCAGCCAAGUCGCGUGAGGGAAGACUGCCCUAUGGGUUGUAAACCUCUUUUGUCAGGGAGCAACGCCGGCUACGUGUAGCCGGACUGAGAGUACCUGAAGCAAAAGCAUCGGCAAACUCCGUGCCAGCAGCCGCGGUGAUACGGAGGAUGCGAGCGUUAUCCGGAUUUAUUGGGUUUCAAGGUUGCGUAGGCGGAAUGCCAAGUCAGCGGUAAAAUCGCGGGGCUCAACCUCGCUCCGCCGUUGAAACUGGCGUUCUUGAGUGGGCUAGAAGUAUGCGGAAUGCGUGGUGUAGCGGUGAAAUGCAUAGAGAUCAUACAGAACACCGAUUGCGAAGGCAGCUUACCAAGCUACUUCUGACGUUGAGGCACGAAAGCGUGGGGAGCAAACAGGAUUAGAUACCCCAGUAGUC